GAUGAACGCUAGCUACAGGCUUAACACAUGCAAGUCGAGGGGAAACGCCAUCGAAAGCUUGCUUUUGAUGGGCGUCGACCGGCGCACGGGUGAGUAACGCGUAUCCAACCUGCCCAUCACUUGGGAAUAACCUUGCGAAAGUAAGACUAAUACCCAAUGAUAUCCCACGAAGGCAUCGGAAUGGGAUUAAAGAUUUAUCGGUGAUGGAUGGGGAUGCGUCUGAUUAGCUUGUUGGCGGGGUAACGGCCCACCAAGGCAACGAUCAGUAGGGGUUCUGAGAGGAAGGUCCCCCACAUGGGAACUGGGCCACGGUCCAAACUCCUACGGGAGGCAGCAGUGAGGAAUAUUGGUCAAUGGGCGAGAGCCUGAACCAGCCAAGUAGCGUGCAGGAAGACGGCCCUAUGGGUUGUAAACUGCUUUUAUAAGGGAAUAAAGUGGGUCACGUGUGACUUUUUGCAUGUACCUUAUGAAUAAGGACCGGCUAAUUCCGUG
rnacentral:rRNA from 1 species